GGAAAUUCUGAAGCUUUGUCCUGCCUGAACAUUGGUAACAUUAUACAAGGUCUCAAGCUUUGAUACUGUUGACUUUCUUCAGAAGCAUACUGCACCCGCAGGAUGGCGCGCAGCCAACAGUUUUGAACGAAGGUAAGGAAUCUGGAGACAAUUGAGUUGAGUGGUAACAACUAGUCCAUAGGAUCUGAAGAAAAGAAUGCCGAGCCAGAAAAGGACAAAUUUACUAAUAGCAGACGAACUGAGAAGCUAUGCUAAGGUACCCAUGCUAAACGCCAAGUUGAGAAAGCAAAGCAGACAGAAAAGGAAAAUCAAUCAUCUGCAAUGGAAGAUGAUAUUGAUAUGGAUGGUGAUUAUGAUUUUGAGGUAGUCUACAUCAGGUGACUGUGUGCCGUGGACACUGGCGAUGAAGAUGGGGGGAGUCAUGGAAGUGUUUUGAGCAUAAGCGAUCUUCCCUUAUAUUCAACCCUGCGCAAAGAGGGAACAUCUAUCUGUGGAAGGGACUUCAUUCAAGGUUGAUGUAAAUAUAAAGAAUAGGGGGCAUCUUUUUUAUUUUUAUUUUUAUUUUUAUUUUUUUCAUAGGUACAUUUACUAAAAAUAAUUGUCAAUAUUUUUCUUUGUGAAUUUUGACCGCAUUACAUUGUGUGAGUUUUGGUUUAUUUUGAUGUAUAUUCAGAACUUUUGGUUGAUUGAGAUUUAUUAACUAUUAUCAA